rnacentral:lncRNA from 1 species
GUGUGAUCCAACGUGGUCCAAUAAGAGUCCUUCCCUGGAAAUUUAUAAGCAGAUACUAAUAGAAGCUCUUUCUUUCCUCUAGAUGACAAAAGUCACUUAAGCCAGGAGGUAUGUGCUGCUUGACCCACCACUCUAGCCAUUGCAUGGAAAGCCUCUUCAUGAUAUAAGAAAAUGAAAUCAAACCUUAAGGUGAAGCAGGUAAGAAGCAGGAAGAUCUACCGGACAGAUGGAGAAGAGUGAUGUAAAAGAGGAUGCAUGGAAAGAGGCCAUUUUGGAGUCAGAUGGAUCUGAUUUUGAAUUCCAACUUUAUUACCUACCAACUCAGUGAACUCUAAGCAAGUUUCCUCAUUUGUAAAUGGGGGUAAAUUACCCUUCUCAGCAUGACUGUGCAUCUUAAAUGGAAAAAACAGCAUGAAAGUAUCUAUCCCAGUACCUC